rnacentral:rRNA from 1 species
AACUGCGAACUUGCACGCGGCGAGCCUCUGUGUGCGCACGGAAGCACAAGCAUGUCGCGGUCAAGGGGCCGGCCGCACACAUCUUGGUGAAUCAGAAUAACUUUUGCCGAGCGCACGACCCCUCCCGUAACCCGGGUUGGGUCGGCGCCGCGUCCUGCAGGCGUCUGCCUUAUCAGCUCUCGAUUGUAGGUUAAACGCCUACAAUGGCUAUCACGGGUAACGGGGAAUCAGGGUUCGAUUCCGGAGAGGGAGCCUGAGAAACGGCUACCACAUCUAAGGAAGGCAGCAGGCGCGCAAAUUACCCACUCCCGGCACGGGGAGGUAGUGACGAAAAAUACUGUUGCGAGCCCCGAACGGGGCCUCGCAAUUGGAAUGAGUACACUUUAAAUCCUUGUACGAGGAUCGAGUGGAGGGCAAGUCUGGUGCCAGCCGCCGCGGUAAUUCCAGCUCCACUAGCGUAUAUUAAAGUUGUUGCGGUUGAAACGCUCGUAGUUUGACUUCUGCUCCGGACCGGCGGUCCGCCUUAGCGGCGGCUACUGCCGGGUUCCGAGCUGUGUCCCCGCCGGCGCACAUGGGGUUUUUAUGCCCUUAACCGGGUGUCCCCUUGUGGCCGGCACGUUUACUUUGAAAAAAUUAGAGUGCUCAGAGCAGGCUGGUUUUUGCUUACAGCCCGAAUGGUCGUGCAUGGAAUGAUGGAACAGGACCUCGGUUCUAUUUUGUCGGUUUUUCGGAACCCGAGGUAAUGAUUAAUAGAAGCAGACGGGGGCAUUCGUACUGCGACGCUAGAGGUGAAAUUCUUAGACCGUCGCAUGACGACCUACUGCGAAAGCAUCUGCCAAGGAUGUUUUCAUCUAGAAGGGUGGCUAUUGCAGGUCUGUAAAUGAUGUAUACGAUCACUGGGGAGGUGCCGAGAUGCUGCAAGCUCGAUGGUUUUAACAAUUUAGAAUCAAGGAUAGAAGAGUUCUUCAAAGAAGAAGAUAAGUCG